ACUUCUAUGAAAACUCUUUUCUAUCAAUCACACUACUAUGGUCAUAGACUCUUGGACUUAGCCUCUUAAAUCUCAUAGGACUACUCCUCUCUAUCAAGGUCAAUAGAUCCUAUCUUGAUGCACACUCUAUUCCUACAGUGGACCAACUGUCGCCAACAUCAACUAAAGGGCUUAUUGAGACCUAUAUUUAUGUGUCAGUCAAACUUCAACAGCUUCACUGUGAGUAGCAAUAUCAUCUCA
rnacentral:lncRNA from 1 species